rnacentral:rRNA from 1 species
ACGAACGCUGGCGGCGUGCCUAAUACAUGCAAGUUGAGCGCUGAAGGUUGGUACUUGUACCAACUGGAUGAGCAGCGAACGGGUGAGUAACGCGUGGGGAAUCUGCCUUUGAGCGGGGGACAACAUUUGGAAACGAAUGCUAAUACCGCAUAAAAACUUUAAACACAAGUUUUAAGUUUGAAAGAUGCAAUUGCAUCACUCAAAGAUGAUCCCGCGUUGUAUUAGCUAGUCGGUGAGGUAAAGGCUCACCAAGGCGAUGAUACAUAGCCGACCUGAGAGGGUGAUCGGCCACAUUGGGACUGAGACACGGCCCAAACUCCUACGGGAGGCAGCAGUAGGGAAUCUUCGGCAAUGGACGAAAGUCUGACCGAGCAACGCCGCGUGAGUGAAGAAGGUUUUCGGAUCGUAAAACUCUGUUGGUAGAGAAGAACGUUGGUGAGAGUGGAAAGCUCAUCAAGUGACGGUAACUACCCAGAAAGGGACGGCUAACUACGUG